rnacentral:rRNA from 1 species
GACGAACGCUGGCGGCGUGCCUAAUACAUGCAAGUAGAACGCUGAAGGAGGAGCUUGCUUCUCUGGAUGAGUUGCGAACGGGUGAGUAACGCGUAGGUAACCUGCCUGGUAGCGGGGGAUAACUAUUGGAAACGAUAGCUAAUACCGCAUAAGAGUAGAUGUUGCAUGACAUUUGCUUAAAAGGUGCAAUUGCAUCACUACCAGAUGGACCUGCGUUGUAUUAGCUAGUUGGUGGGGUGACGGCUUACCAAGGCGACGAUACAUAGACGACCUGAGAGGGGGAUCGGCCACACUGGGACUGAGACACGGCCCAGACUCCUACGGGAGGCAGCAGUAGGGAAUCUUCGGCAAUAGACGGAAGUCUGACCGAGCAACGCCGCGUGAGUGAAGAAGGUUUUCGGAUCGUAAAGCUCUGUUGUAAGAGAAGAACGAGUGUGAGAGUGGAAAGUUCACACUGUGACGGUAUCUUACCAGAAAGGGACGGCUAACUACGUG